AAAGGAAUAGACGGGGGCCCGCACAAGCGGAGGAACAUGUGGUUUAAUUCGAUGAUACGCGAGGAACCUUACCCGGGCUCGAACGGCUGUUGAAUUUUGGUGAAAGCCAAAAGGCCGCAAGGACAAUAGUCGAGGUGCUGCAUGGUUGUCGUCAGCUCGUGCCGUGAGGUGUCGGCUUAAGUGCCAUAACGAGCGCAACCCUUACCGAUAGUUACCAGCAUAUAAAGAUGGGGACUCUGUCGGGACUGCCACCGUAAGGUGCGAGGAAGGUGGGGAUGACGUCAAAUCAGCACGGCCCUUACGUCCGGGGCGACACACGUGUUACAAUGGGGGGGACAAAGGGCAGCUACUUAGCGAUAAGAUGCCAAUCUCGAAACCCUCUCCCAGUUCGGAUCGAAGUCUGCAACCCGACUUCGUGAAGCUGGAUUCGCUAGUAAUCGCGCAUCAGCCAUGGCGCGGUGAAUACGUUCCCGGGCCUUGUACACACCGCCCGU
rnacentral:rRNA from 1 species